GUCGUAUUACGUGAAGUCUUGCUCAAGAAUGCAUGGAAUACCUAGCUGUAGAAGAUAGAAUGGAAAUUGCUACAAAAAAAUCCUAUUUUAAAUAUAAUAUUAAAUAACUCUAAUCAAAUCCAUAAAAAUACUAAAAAAGCUUUAAUCAAAUUCAAAAGAAAUCUUAAAGAAAUUACAAAAGAAAUAAUAAGAAAUUUCAAAGAAUUCAAAAGAAACCUACCAUAAACCUUAAAAGAAUUCUUAAGAAAUCUUAAAGGAAUAUUAGAAUAAUCACAAAUAUAUCUUAAAUAAAUCUUAAUUAAGUCCUAAUUUAAUCCUAAUUAAAAUCCUAAUAGACUUCAAUCAAAUUUUAAGCCAAAUCUUAAAUCCUAAGAAAAUCUUAAAUUCUAAAUUAAAUCCUAAUUAAAUCCUAAAUUCUAAACUAAAUCCUAGAUAAACUCAAAAUUCUAAACCAAAUUCUAGAAAAAACUUAAAUUUUAAAUCAAACCCUAAAUAAAAAUCUAAAUUUUAAAUCAAACCUUUGAUAAAUCUUAAAUCCUAAUCCAUAUCCUAAAUCAAAUCCUAGACAAAUCCUAAUUCUUAAACUAAAUUCUAAAAAAAUCCUAAAUCCUAAACCAAAUCCUAAACAAAUCCUAAUCUUUAAACUAAAUCUUAAAAAAAUCCUAAAUUCUAAACCAAAACUUAGGCAAAUCCUACUCUUUAAACCAAAUCUUUAAAAAAUUCUAAAUUCUAAACCAAUUCCUACAAAAAUCUUAAACCUCAAAUUAAAUCCUAAGUAAAUCCUAAACCUUAAAUCAAA
rnacentral:lncRNA from 1 species